CUUCCGGGCCGCGGGCGGGGAGGCGGUGGCAGGGCGAGGAGGGAAAUUGGGCAGGGGAAGGCAGGGGGAGGACAGGAGGGAAGUGAUGGAGGAGGCAGGGAAGCCGAGGGGAGAGGAGACGAGAGGUGCGGAGGCGCUGGCCUUUUUCUUGGUGCCCAACGCCCCUGCAGUGUAGCUCGGCCGUCUGGGAAGCCGCCAAGUUCGCGCCAGCCAGGCUCGCUCUGGGCGCGCCCAGCACUUGCCUGCGACGUGGAAAACCUAGAGAGCCCUAAAUCUCAGGGCUAAUCUCUGAGUACUUUGAGGAAAGCGUCAGGGGGCCUCGAGUCCCGCGGAGUUUUUGCGGAUGCGCCAGGCCGCGUGGGGAUGUGCCGCAGGGAAGAAGCAGUCUUGGAAACUCUCCCGCCCUGUUGGCAGCUGUCGAUGCCUGUGUACGUGGCUCCUAACGUGGGGAACAGUGGCUGCGAAAGCGUGCACCGAGGGAGGGACGAAAGGGUGAGGCCUUGACCCAUCCUCUGUGCCCAGGGAGUUCCAAAGGCACGGAUUAUUCUUGGGUUAAACCCCCAGACCCACGAGGAAAUCCUCGAGACUUCGGUGAACGUGGGAUGUGUCGUGCAGCAGGCUCCAGAUGGCUCCCCGUUAGUACUUUUGGAAAUCGAAUUGGCACAUCAAAGAUUUCCUCUGAUCCUGCUGCUGCAUUGACUAGACAUUACACAGAAACCCCACCCCAUCUUUGCUCUUGUAAAGAAACAUUUAUUACACAAGUACUCCAACUGUUUCAUCUCUUUCUUUUUUUUUUUAGGUUCUUUCUAGUAAGUGUGGCGGUUUCCUUUCCCUCAAGUCAUUCUAUCAAAGUCUUGGAAGCAAACUAAAAAAAAAAACUAGUCUGAAUUAGAAAGUUAAGUGAAGACGGCCUUAUGGGUUUGCGCUGCUCAGGUUUAUUCGUAGCUUCUUUUGGGUCCUUCUUCUCUCUCGCUCCCACCUUGAGGCAGAAACAUAGAUGAGGGACUUGCCGGAUGUCUCUUAUUUUCUACACUAGUUUGAACCUUUCCGCCGGAACUAUGUAUAUUACUUUCUCAUAGGUUUGUGAAUUAACAAACAGGAUUAUUGCAGUUAAUAAGAAGAGCUAAUAUGUAGUACUCGGGGCAGGCACUAUUUUGUUUACAAACCUGUGAUUAUUUAAUUCAUCAACUGUGUGAAGUCGGGGCUAUUGUCCCAUUAUCCAACUUACUUCAUUCCUUAGAGAUGAGGAAAUUGAGGCAUGGUCAAGUUAGAUAACAAGGCCUCUUCUAGCCUGUAAGUGGAAGAGAUGGAAUUUGAACGCAAACUGUCGGAGGUAAAUGCCAUGCUGUGGUCACAAUGUUAUAGAAAUUACCCACUAGCGAGCAUAGUUGUAUUGAAAUAUUAAACUUAUAAUUAGGUGGAAUUUUUUUUUUCCUUUUACUUAUUUAGGCUUCCUGAAGUUUAUUUUGGCGAAAUGUCCAAAUUUAGUGUGGACAGAGCAGGACUCACAAUUUAAAAAGGAAACUCUCAAUAAGAAACCAUGCAUUCCAAGGCAGUGUUACAUUUUUCUUACAUGCAAGGUUAUGGAAAUGUUUGACCUGGGAAGUUAUUUUCCUUAGGAGAAACGUUUGUCUUGGUAUACCGUGAUCCCCGAGAACAUGGCGAGCCCUCCAGGAGAAACUCUUCAGUCAUCAGUGUUUGAAAACUAAAUAUUGAUUCAAAUGUACUCAAGAAGUGAGCAUCCUUGACAUGGUCGAUGACAUGAUGUCAAAUGAAAAGGAAAUUUCCCCAAAGAAACAUAAGUAUUGGGUGGAGUCAGGGAAGAUACUCAGGGAGUUCCCUUCGUGGCUCAGUGGUUAAGGAACCCCACUAGGAUCCAUGAGGAUUCCAGUUUGAUCCCUUGCCUUGCUCAGUGGGCUAAGGAUCUUGCGUUGCUUUGAGCUGUGGUGUAGGUGGAAGACGCUGCUUGGAUCCCGUGCUGCUCUGGCUGUGGUUGUAGGCUGGCAGGUGUAGCUCCACUUCAGCCACUAGCCUGGGAAUUUCCAUAUGCCUCGGGUGCCUGGGAACUUCCAUGUGCUGUGCUUGUGGCCCUAGAAAGCAAAAAUAAGAAAAGGGAAGAUAUUCGUUUUUUUUUUUUUUUUUUUUCCCUCCAUUUUCUUUCUGGAGUCUUCUUCCCUGUCCUUGAACACUUCUGUGACCUCCAAGACUGGGUUAGAAGCCUCUUCUGUGUGCUCCUGUGCACCCAGAAUCUGUGCCUGCAGUGGUACACUGUUUUCUCAUUGCUUGUUCACCUAACUACCUCCUGGGAGAUUCUUAAGUUUCACGAAGGGCAGACAUUCUGUCCUUCUCAAUAGUAUGUCUCCAGAACUCAGCACAGUUGUCCUAAAAUUGGAGCAAUACUGACUGGUUAAAAUGAUGGUUUUUACUGGUCAGCCUUGUCUUGUUAGGAUGUACUGAGUUGGGAUUUAACAGAAACUGUGAGACCAAUGUAUCCAUCAGAAGCAUAGUCUCUAAACAGACCUCCCAGUUUCCUCCUUUCUUACAUUUCCUUGAAUUCCACCUACAUACUUUAUCUUAUCUAUCUCUCUGUCUCUCUCUAUGUUAUCUGUGUGUAUACCAUCUAUCUCCCUCUAUCUCUCUAUCUCUCUAUCCAACUGUCUGUCUGUCUAUCUGUCUUUACCACUGGAUAUAAACCACACAGUCAGGGAUAUAUAUUUUGUUUCAGUUUGGGUAUAUAUCCCAUUGUCCCACUUUUUGCACCCAUUUGGCACAUAAUAGUUUUUUUGAUAUUAAAUAAGAACAAAAACAACCUCUGAAAAUUUUAACUUUAUUUUGGCACCCAAUUAAUAAAUAACUGCAGCCUUAAUCCUAACCUCACUGUUUGGGGUCUGUAAGAUGAUAGAAUCAUACGAUUUUUUUUUUUUUCCCUGAAGGGGACCUGAUAAUUAUGUAAGCCAGCUGGUAGACACAGGCUAUUUCAAUUUAAACUGACUAAAAUAAAAUUAAAAAUUAAGUUACUCAGCUUUUGCCUCCUUUUGGGUGCUCAGUAGCCACAUGUGACUAGUGGCUACUCUGUUGGGCAGCCUUGAUACAGAGAUUUCCAUUAUUGCGGAAAGUUCUACUGGGCAGAGCUGACAAGUUACAAAAAAUAGGUUAAAGGGCAUAGUUUCAUUAGCUUAAAUAUAUCACUGCUACUAAAAAAUAUUUCAGAUGGCAUAGCAGUUCUUUUACAUACAAAGAGCAUCACAUUCUUAUUUCAGAUGUCUGCUAUUUCACAUAGAUAAACAUUUUUUUUUCCUUAACGGUUGUGGUUAAAUUAAUGCACAUUUAAACAUAUGCAGAAGAGCCUGUGGUUCAAAAGGAUUCCUCUUUGUAGUCCCUUAAGGUGAAUAUUCACCCCAAUCAAUCCUUUGUGAGUCUUCACUUUUUUCUGGUUAAAAAUCCUCUGAUCAACUUGAGUCACUGCACAAGUUUGACAUUCAUUCGCUUCGGCUGUGCAUUUUAAGCUCGCAUGAUUGAGGAGCUAAAAUACUCAGUAAUGUUGGUAAAGGCCAAAUGCCAGAUAGUUUUGGACUGACCAAAUAUAUAUUUAAUGACAUCACACAUGCCCUAAGACAGUUUUCAAUUUACAAACACUCUAUUCAGAAGCAGCCCAGAUAGAAAACAUACUGGCGUACUUUCUUUAAACUCUUCCUUAGGACAGUAUUGCCAAGGUGCCCAUUGUACAAAAAUUAGUCAAUAAAAAAAUAAAAUAAAUACUGCAAUUCUAAGACAAUGGAUAGUGUAAGUUGUGGGGGCAACAAAGAAGCCGGAGUGAAACCUUGGGGAAUUAGUAGAGGUUAUUUCCGCAGUAGAGCAGAUUUGCUUAAGUGGUAACCCCCUGACAAAAAUAGUCUAGAGCCACCUUUCUCCCUCUGGCCCCGCCCCUCCUUGCCCUGCCUCUCUCCCACUCCCCUGUUCUUACAAUUCUUUUUUUCUUUUUUUGCGUUUUAGGGCUGCGCAGGCAACAUAUGGUAGUUCCCAGGCUGG
rnacentral:lncRNA from 1 species